GAGGGUAUAGCUCAGUGGUAGAAUGCAUGCCUAGUAUGAACGAGGUCCUGGUUCAAUCCCUGGUACCUCCA
rnacentral:tRNA from 1 species